rnacentral:misc_RNA from 1 species
UACGGAGGGUUCAAGCGUUGUCCGGAAUUAUUGGGCGUAAAGCGCGCGCAGGUGGUUCUUUAAGUCUGAUGUGAAAGCCCCCGGCUCAACCGGGGAGGGUCAUUGGAAACUGGAGGACUUGAGUACAGAAGAGGAAAGUGGAAUUCCACGUGUAGCGGUGAAAUGCGUAGAGAUGUGGAGGAACACCAGUGGCGAAGGCGACUUUCUGGUCUGUAACUGACGCUGAGGCGCGAAAGCGUGGGGAGCGAACAGG